ACUGCUUUUCUUUGAAAUCCCCAAAUUGAGGAGCCCGUUAAACUUCUGUUUAACGGGUUUUUUUAU
rnacentral:sRNA from 1 species